GUGGGGGGGGGGCAGGCAGGCAGGCAGGCAGGCAGGCAGGCCUUACAUAAUUAAGCAUUCUGUAAGUGAAAGAAACUCAAAUUAAUCAGUAAACACUAAUUUUCUAUGAACUUUUUAACAUUUUUUAUCAUUAUUAAUACAGCUGCUUUUGUUUCAUUUACACUAAAUAAAUAUGCUCUUUUCUCUAGAUUAUAUUAUAUAUAUUAAAAAAUUGAAUGGAAUAUAGAUACAUAAAAACAUUAAUAUAAAUAUCUCAGGCUGGCCAUGGGCCUCCACUGACCUCAAGGUGGUGUGUCACACCAACACUUUUUCCGUCAACUUUUUCCAUCGUUUUUCUGAAAAUCGUGGAUAUCUUGGCUGCGGCCUGUCGCACACAAAUGGUGUUUCAUCUGAAACUUUCCAUUGGCACAGCCCAAGGAGUGCAAACAAACAUGGAGUCCACACUGCAGCAAAGAUACGCUACUCUGAAACUAAUACUGUUUACUGUGAGACACAGUAUUGGAGGGCACAGGUGACAGUGUUGUGAGCCGCUCUUUUCAGGCCUUUCUUCAUACAAGAUUCAUCCUUGUGGUCCCAGAGGCACUUAUGGCUCCUUAUGCUUUCCACAAGGAUCUCCUCUGAACGGCGUGUCCAACUUGGAUGUGGUUUUCCUUCCAUGACGAAGCGUAGAGGUGGUAAUAACGUUCUGUGAGACAGGUUGAAGCCACACAGAAAGUCUUGGUCUUGGUCUUGGAAAUAUAAACAAAGGCGGAAAUUUGCAGGAGGAAACAAUCCUGAUCGUCUGACAAAUUCAUGCGAUAAGUUCAUGUGGAACGAUGAAAAACUGACGGAAAAAGUGCUAGUAUGACACCACCUUAAAUCCACCCCUGGAUUUGUGAGUUAAUUUUUUUUUCUUUUUUUUUCUUACUUGAGGGGCAUUGGCUUUGGGAGGGAAAAAAAAAAAGACCCACUUAGGUGCCAUUCCCUUAAGACCAAAAGGAUCAUCCAAAAUUGGAGGGUAAGUGCCUUGAAACUUUCCUCUUGAAAGAGUUCUAGUCAUAAGAAGGAGGAAAUAUAGAAGUAGGCAGAGUGUCCCAGAGUCUACCAAAAACUAACUGACUGUUAGGCUAAACUGUGUAAAAUACUGAUGUGACUACCGUCCUCUUUUUCUGUUUUUGCUGCUUCUCUGGAGUGAGGGGCUGGCACCAUGCACAAGUCUUCUUUGGUUGUGUCUGUCCCUUGCAUCUUCUUCUGUGACUCCCAUCCUUAGCAGCUCUAGCACAAUUCCAUCCUUCCAUCUCACUCACUCUUUACCUUGAUCUUCCUUCAACUGGCUUUCUCCAGGCCCUUUUGAUUAGUCCUUUAUCAAGAUUGCCUCCAAUAACCACCUAGGAUGUGAACAAUCUCAUAUCACCACAUCAGUCUGGCUAGAUUAUAACGUGCCUUCUCUUCUUCCCUGGGAGCAGCAAACCUGUGUGGGCUCCCAGACAGGUGAGUGCCGUGUGCUGAGAGAGGCAUGGCAGAAAGUGGUGCUGAGGUCCCCAGAUAACUUAGUGAACUCCUACACUGAGGGACUGGAGAAGGUCUUGAAUGACUCCUCCAGAAUCAAGGAACUGCCAGUCCAGUACAUCACAGGAGGCAUUGCUAUUGGGCUGCAAAAAAAAUUCACCUUUAGGAAGUUAUUUGACUGCAGCCUUCAGAAGAGGCAGGAGUCAAGCCUGAUGAACAAGCUGAGGUCCAAUUGGCUAUCAGCAGGAACUUCAAUGUGUGGCAGGAAGACUAAAUUCACAGCCAGCCUCUCUGAUGUGGCUGCAAUCUUCAUCCUCUUGAUGGGUGGUGCAGCAUUUAGCUGUCUGCUGCUGCUGCUGCUGCUGCUGCUGCUGGAGUAUGCAGUGGAUAAUGAUGCAUGUGUAAAACCAUGGCCCAUAUUCUGAAGCACUCUGCUCUCUCACUAUGACCAUUUUCAGAGUCCACAUAGAUGAUUAGCUGGGUUCUCAAGAAAGAUUUCUCCUGUUGAUAAAUUUGAAAUCUUGUUAAUUUGGCAUUAGACCUGCAUAAGUACCUCAACACACAUGUAACUUCAUCCAGAGCCUUUUAAAAGCAGUGGAAGUGAGGUUUAGUAGUGUUUCAGAACAUUACCCAACAUACCUAAAACUCAAAAGCAUAUGAACCGAGUGACAAUCUCACACAAGGAGGCCAAGGCAAAGUGCAUAACAUAACUUAAGAAUUGAAAGUCUCAUAUAUCCUGCCAUGUACAUAAGAGUAUAAUGGAAGCUGCAAGACUACACAAGGCAGGCAGUCCCUCUAUAAAGCAUAUUAACCACACUUACAGAUACAUGCAAGACAAAAGGUGGCAGACAAUAAGUUCUUGGGGUUUGCUGACCUGAAGGAACUGCAGAAAAUAACAAGAAACAAGACACCUACACUUUUUUUUUUCUGUACGAGGGACACUGGCCAGGGGCAAAAAAAAAAAAAAAAAAAAAAAAAAAAAAAAGUGUCCGAAGCAGUAGUCAAAAAUUGAAGGAUAAGUGUCUUGAAACCCCUCUAUUGAAGGAGUUCAAGUCAUAGGAAAAUGGAAAUACAGAAGCAGGUAGGGAGUUCCAGUUUACCAGAGAAAGGGAUGAAUGAUUGAGAAUACUGGUUAACAUUUGCAUUAGAAAGGUGGACAGAACAGGAUUGAGAGAAAGAAGAAAGUCUUGUGCAGCGAGGCCACAGGAGGAGGGAAGGCAUGCAGUUAGCAAGAUCAGAAGAGCAGUUAGUAUGAAAAUAGUGGUAGAAGACAGCUAGAGAUGCAACAUUGCACUGAUGAGAGAGAGGCUGAAGACAGUCAGUUAGAGGAGAGAAGUUGAUGAGACAAAAAGCUUUUGAUUCCACCCUGUCUAAAAGAGCAGUAUGAGUGGGACCCCCCCCCCCCCAGACAUGUGAAGUAUACUCCAUACAUGGACGGAUAAGGCCCUUGUACAGAGGUAGCAGCUGGGGGGGUGAGAAAAACUGGCGGAGACAUUUCAGAACACGUAACUUCAUAGAAGCUGUUUUAGCUAGAGAUGAGAUGUGAAGUUUCCAGUUCAGAUUAUACGUAAAGGACAGACUGAGGAUGUUCAGUGUAAAAGAGGGGGACAGUUGAGUGUCACUGAAGAAGGGAUAGUUGUCUGGAAGGUUGUGUUGAGUUGAUAGAUAGAGGAUUUGAGUUUUUGAGGCAUUGAAUAAUAUCAAAUUUGCUCUGCCCCAAUCAGAAAUUUUAGAAAGCUCAGAAGUCAGGCAUUCUGUGGCUUCCCUGAAUGAAAUGUUUACUUCCUGAAGUGUUGGACGUCUAUGAAAAGAUGUGGAAAAGUGCAGGGUGGUAUCAUCAGCAUAGGAGUGGACAGGACAAGAAGCCUGGUUUAGAAAGUCAUUGAUGGAUAAUAAAAAGAGAGUGGGUGACAGGACAGAACCCUGUUAAUAGAUUUAGCAGAAGGAAUGGCCUAAGUUAAUGCUUAAGACGUUUUGAAAAAGGAAAAAAGGUGACUGGGACGUGAGAUGUGAAUGCAAGUGAAUGGCAACGUGGGGAAAAAAAUAUAAAAUACCGUGAGCUGCUCUUUGCAAACACUUUAAAAAAGAAAAAAAAUUAUUUACCAUUCUACUGGAAAAGAAAAUACAAGACUAUAAAAGAAUGACUGAUUACAUGGCAGUGUGUGUGUGUGUGUGUGUGUGUGUGUGUGUGUGUGUGUAUGGAAAAGGCUUCAGAACUUAAUUUUCAAGAACAUUUUGAAAAGUUAUUGAAUCCAUCUAGUGAGCAACCGAUUGCCGAUAGUGUGUUAGAUGUUGAUGAUUUGGAAAAUAUGCCAUAUAUACCAAUUUUAGACGAUCCUUUUUCUAUGACUGAACUUGACGAUGCACUGAAUGUUACGAAGAACAAAAGUUAUAUAGGAUUAUGCCCGGCCAUGAUUAAGGUGUUUGAUGUAACAUGGAAGUUAUUUAUCUUGAAUGUGUUUAAUGUAGUGUUCACUCAAAUAUGUUACCCCCUGUUAUGGUGUUACAACAAGCUAAUUGUAUUAUUUAAGUCAGGUAAUCGUAUGAUUUGUGGUAAUUAUAGAGGAAUCACUAUAAUGGAUACUCUAGCUAAAGUUUAUGACACUAUGAUAUUGAAUAGAUUGAAAUUAUGGUGGAACAUCGACAAGUGUCAAGCGGGAGCACAAAAACAGAGAGGCUGUGUUGAACAGAUUACUUCUUUGAGGUUACUCUGUGACUAUGUUAUGUACAAGAAGAGAAAACUGUAUGUCCUGUUUAUAGAUUUUAGUAAGGCAUACGAUCGGGUCCCCAGAGGAAAACUUAUAGAUGCUUUAAAAGAGCGUGGAUGUGGUAAGGUAAUGAUUAGAGCCAUUAAAGCUAUGUAUACCUGUACUAGAAAUAUUAUGAAAUCUGCAAUCAUUGAAUCAUCUGUUGGUGUUCGUCAAGGGGCCCCGACCAGUUGUCUGCUUUUUACUUUGUAUAUUGACCAUAUGGUAAAGAUGCUGAAAAACGAAAUAGCAGCAGAUGAUUUCUUAGGAAGUUUACAUACAAUGCUGUUAAUGGAUGACGCAGUGAUCGUUGCAACAAGUAGAGAAAUGUGUGAAAAGAAAAUGAACAUCGUGUUACAUUAUUGUAGUGAAUACGGAAUGCUUAUCAAUGAGAAGAAAACAAAAUUUUUUGUGGUAAACGGUGAUGAUAGAGACAAACAUGACUUAAAGGUGGGUGAGGUGGUAGUGAACUAUGCUGCCAGGUACUUGUACCUCGGUGCCUGGUUCACAGACACUGCCGGAAUGGACGAUGUACUUAACAUGCACCAAACAAUGAGUGAAGCGACACUAAACAAAUUUUCUAUUUUUUGUGCAGCAAAUACAUUAAUGCCAUUUAUAUUGAAGAAAAAGGUUUUUGAUGCUGCCGUGACGUCAGCCUUACUGUACAGUUGUGAGUCGUGGCUGACAAACAAGACUAAGAACUUAGAAAGACAAUACAACAGUUUAGUAAAGUGUUUAUUAGGUUUGAGAAAAAAUACCAGCAUAAAUUUAUGUAUGGUUGAAAGCGGCAUUUUACCUGUAAUAGAAUUAGUAAAGUGAAGGAGGAAAAACUUCUUAAAAUCUAAGUUGGAGGUCAUAGAUAUGGAACAACCUUUUUAUAUUGUGUAUGACCUUUGCAGGAGAGAAAACACACCUGGAUAUAGAUUCCUUAAUAGAGAAAUAUCCCUGAUAUCAGAUAAUGACCCCAUGGAAAAAUUGAGAAAUAUUUUGAGGAACACACCGAACAGUGCCACUAAGAUCUGGACAUAUGUGAAUGACUUUAACCCGACACUGACAGUUCACAAUAUUUAUAAGACUGAUAAGUAUGUGCCCGAUUACCAGCGAGAGGCAUUCACAAGACUGAGAUUAAUGUCACACAAUCUAAGAAUUGAAACAGGCAGGUGGAGUCGAACGGCAACUGAGCAGAGAGUAUGUUUGUGCGACGGUGUUCAUGUUCAAACCGAAAAACAUGUGUUGUUAGAGUGCACAAUGACUGCUGAUCUACGUAAUAGUUAUCAAAUGCUCAGAUUUGGCGAUAUAAAUGACAUAAUGGAAGAGAAUAUCUAUAUACAGGAAGUGUGUUGCUAUAUUUUUGAAGUACUGAGUAUAUACGUAUAAUAUGUAAGAAUCACCUCUACAUCAAAUGCAUGUUUGUUACUUUUCAUGGACAAAAGUACUUGUACAAUUAUUUCUUCUUCGUUUAUUUUGUAAAAGGAUUCUUUUGUCAAUAAACUACUAACUAACUAA